ACUGGAACUGUCAACACCAUGGUGAGGCAAAGAAGCAGUUCCCUGAGAAAGUGUUAUUGUCAUCCAUUCAACAAGAACAUAUUGGAGGAAACACAAAAGGCUUACCAGGUUAUCCUCCAAUAUAGAUGGAAGACUAACUAUGACAAGACUUUGCCUGGUGCCUUGAAGGGAUUUUUCAAAACACUGCAUCUUUCACUACCCCUGUGCCACUCAUUCUCAACACGAUACCUUAGUUUGGGUAGAGGUGCUCUUAGUCUGGUCCCUUUCCUUCAACCCAUCUGGCAUGGGAGACUACCAGUAGCAAAGCUACCAUAGGCAUAGUUCUUAGGAUCAUUGGAAUAUGCAAACUCCCUCACUACGACAAGAUAGAGAUAUCAUCAAAGGAGUACUCCUAGGUAUCAUAAUAUCCUAAAACCAAUAAUUUUCGAUUUACAUAUUUAAUUCAUUAUCGUCAAUCUCUGUUCAAUUAUAUUUUUUUAUGAAACUGCUUUGUUGAUAAUUUUAAUUUUUCAGAAUAUUUCG
rnacentral:lncRNA from 1 species